rnacentral:rRNA from 1 species
AGUGAACGCUGGCGGUAGGCCUAACACAUGCAAGUCGAACGGCAGCACAGUAAGCGCUUGCUCUUACGGGUGGCGAGUGGCGGACGGGUGAGGAAUACAUCGGAAUCUACUUUUUCGUGGGGGAUAACGUAGGGAAACUUACGCUAAUACCGCAUACGAUCUACGGGUGAAAGCAGGGGAGCUUCGGACCUUGCGCGAUUGAAUUAGCCGAUGUCGGAUUAGCUAGUUGGCGGGGUAAAGGCCCACCAAGGCGAGGAUCCGUAGCUGGUCUGAGAGGAUGAUCGGCCACACUGGAACUGAGACACGGUCCAGACUCCUACGGGAGGCAGCAGUGGGGAAUAUUGGGCAAUGGGCGCAAGCCUGAUCCAGCCAUACCGCGUGGGUGAAGAAGGCCUUCGGGUUGUAAAGCCCUUUUGUUGGGAAAGAAAAGCAGCAGGUUAAUACCCCGCUGUUCUGACGGUACCCAAAGAAUAAGCACCGGCUAACUUCGUG